CUCCAUCGCUCAACACACGCUCUCUCUCGGACAGAAGCGCAGUGUCUCAUGCCAUCCUCCACAUGUGGCAGUAAGAAUUCAAGCCCUGGACACACAAAAAAUACAUUGCAGAGACGCCAAACUGGCAGAAGAUCAGCAUGUUUGGCGUGAGAUCAGAGAAACGUACGUUUGCAAUGAAAACAAAGAAGUCAGUUCAGAGGGGCUUCAUGGCGUCCAGCCUAUCAGACUAAACAGUGACAGCCUUCUGAGAACUCACUUCAGCUCCACCUUCAUCAAUCAAUCGCUGCUUACAGGCCUUCGGAAACCAAAAUAAACAACUUGCCAACGAGAAACUGGACCGUGUCAUGAAUCUAUAUGGAUCCAGGGGCCAUGAGGGGAAUGAAUGAAACGUGACGAUCAUUCAGGACUGGAACAAAUUGGGGGCGAAUAAAUGACGACACCUUUUCAUUUUCAUUGAAUACUCCUUCAAGUGAAACCUGAUGAUGACUGAGGAGCACAAAGCUCCUCUGGUGCACCUGCAGUCCAUCACUCGCUCCUGGAUAUAUCAGCUCACUGUUACAGGUGGCUGGAGAAACACCUGUACAGAAGACAAAAAUUAGAAUUUCAUGAAAUAUAAACACAUAAAUUCUCUUUUUGCUUUGUGACAAGGUUAUUGUAAUCUUA
ensembl:lncRNA